rnacentral:lncRNA from 1 species
CACCUUGUACAAUUUUACUUAUCCCAUAAAUAACUGUAAAGAUAAAAACACAAACGCAUUUAAGGUGCAACGGAAGAUACCAAUCAAGAACGAACCAAUUCUACUCACUGACAUGCAACAAUGUUUACAGUUAAUAACAACUAAAAUCUCACUAAUAUUUCCCUAAAAAUCUUUCACCGACACCGUUUCUGUUAAACUUACCUAAUAAAUAAACCAAAACGAGAGUCUAAUUCACCUCCCCACCAAUUGCUUUGUUGACACAAAUUUUAAGUUGUCGUUGCUCCGCCAAGUUCCCGCAUUAUAAAUAAAAUAAUCCCAAAAUGAAACACGUAGGAUUUUUUUUUUUUUUUUGCAAACAAGUCCUUCAACAAUAAUCCUGAAUUUGAAGAUCUCUAUGAAUGCACAUAUAUACAUAUAAUUAAACAAUAAAAUAAACUUGUAAACCUAACCUGGAAACAUAAAUUUUAGAUGUUUGAGGUCCAACUGUCGUACGCUCAUUGAUUUCCACGGAAUUGUGACCGCCGAACAAUUAAGCAGGAGUGUUGCUAUAAGAACUAUAGAGACGGAGAAUCAAAAAACUAGAACUUCAGAAAUUUCAAAAAAAUUGAAAAGGGAAGAGGAAUUUCUGCAAAACUGAAACAUAAUUGAGGGAAGAGAAAUCUCUGCAAAACUGAAACCUAAUUGAGGACUAUACCUCGAGCAAAGUAUGAAUCUUCGAGUGAAAAAAAAGAACAAAAAAUUCUUCUUCAUCAAUGAGAUGCGCCGAUUGGAACUAUACCUCGAGCAAACAUUACUUGAGCUGGAUGAUGCGAUACAAAAUGCAAAAUUGAAGUCAUUAUGUGUUUUCUCCGUCAUAUCAAACAUGCUGUCAAGAUUGUAAAGAUGGAAAAUGUAAUAGAGUCGGAAAAAUACUUACACGAAAAUGGGGGCAAUUGAGCAUGAAUUUUGUCUGUGUUGAAUAUUUCUUCAAAAUUUGUAAGCAACACUUGCAGAAGCAGCAUUUGCCCCAAAAAGAAGCUACUACAGAACGAAGUAUCAAAAUCAAAUCAUCAAAUACUAAAACCCUAAAAACAAAACCAAAAAACAACAAAAUUCACAAUUAGUGCUAUAUUAUUAUUAUUAAUUUUAUUCGAAUAGCAAUUUGGAUCAGAAAUCUCACAUGCUUUAAUUUGAUUAAUCGAGAGCACUUAUCCCAAAACAAAAACAAAUGAAAUCAAUGGAUGAAAGAGAAAACCAUUGGUUGUGAAUGUUUGCUUACGUUUGGUUCGGUCACUGUAAAGAAGAUGAAGGUUUUUCUUCGAGUGAAAAAGACGAACGAAAAAUUCUACUUCAUCGACGAGACGCGCCGAUUGGAACUAUACCUCGAGCAAACCAGUUCUAAUC